GACGAACGCUGGCGGCGUGCCUAAUACAUGCAAGUCGAGCGAAGUUUUUCUGGUGCUUGCACUAGAACAACUUCGCGGCGAACGGGUGAGUAACACGUAAAGAACCUGCCUCAUAGACUGGGACAACUAUUGGAAACGAUAGCUAAUACCGGAUAAAAGUAUUUCUCGCAUGAGAGAUAUUUAAAAGUUUGUUGUGCUAACACUAUGAGAUGGCUUUGCGGUGCAUUAGCUAGUUGGCGAGGUAAAGGCCCACCAAGACGACGAUGCAUAGCCGACCUGAGAGGGUGAUCGGCCACACUGGGACUGAGACACGGCCCAGACUCCUACGGGAGGCAGCAGUAGGGAAUCUUCCGCAAUGGGCGAAAGCCUGACGGAGCAACGCCGCGUGAGUGAAGAAGGAUUUCGGUUCGUAAAGCUCUGUUGUUAGGGAAGAAUGAAUGUGUAGUAACUAUACAUGUAAGAGACGGUACCUAACCAGAAAGCCACGGCUAACUACGUG
rnacentral:rRNA from 1 species